GAUGAACGCUGGCGGCGUGCCUAAUACAUGCCAGUCGAGCGAACGGACGAGAAGCUUGCUUUUCUGAUGUUAGCGGCGGACGGGUGAGUAACACGUGGAUAACCUACCUAUAAGACUGGGAUAACUUCGGGAAACCGGAGCUAAUACCGGAUAAUAUUUUGAACCGCAUGGUUCAAAAGUGAAAGACGGUCUUGCUGUCACUUAUAGAUGGAUCCGCGCUGCAUUAGCUAGUUGGUAAGGUAACGGCUUACCAAGGCAACGAUGCAUAGCCGACCUGAGAGGGUGAUCGGACACACUGGAACUGAGACACGGUCCAGACUCCUACGGGAGGCAGCAGUAGGGAAUCUUCCGCAAUGGGCGAAAGCCUGACGGAGCAACGCCGCGUGAGUGAUGAAGGUCUUCGGAUCGUAAAACUCUGUUAUUAGGGAAGAACAUAUGUGUAAGUAACUGUACACAUCUUGACGGUACCUAAUCAGAAAGCCACGGCUAACUACGUG
rnacentral:rRNA from 1 species